AUGGCUGCCCGAUACGGAAAGGCUUUUCAGGGCUGUGUUCCACCCCUUUCCUGUUCUCUCAGGGAGAAAGAGUGGAAUGGUAGGACACGGUGUGAAGGGGUUUCCAGAUCCCCAGAUGGCAGGUGGGACAGCUUGCCUGCCCAUCAAAGAAGUUGCCUCCUGGAGACACAUCUGGGCAUUCUGGCAGGAGGAGCAAGAGAGGCACUGUGUGUGUGUGUGUGUGAUUGUGUGCAUGAGUGUGCAAGUGUGUAUGUGUGUAUGUAUAAGAGUGUGUGUGUGAGAGAGAGUGUGGGUGGGUGAGUGUGUGUGUGUGAUAGUGUGAGUGUGUGUGAGUGUAUUUGUGUGUAUGUAUGUGAGUGUGGGUGACUGAAAGUGUGUAAUGAGUUGGGUUUCCUUUUCACGCUUUCCUGGAUUUGCUACCAUGAUCAACUAUGACUUUUACACUCUCAAUAGGGAAAUUAACUGCUAAGGAGGCUGAGACUGGAGGACCACUUGAACCCAGAAGGUUGAGGCUGUAGUGAGCCACUGCCCUCCAGCCUGGACAACAGAGCAAGACCAUGUCUCAAAAAAAAUAAAUAAAUAAAAGAGAGUGAGAAAGAGAUGCAGAGUUAGAAAUUGCAGCGGAUGUUGACUGAGCAUUUGUUGAGUAGUGCCUGCCGUGGUGAGAGCACACCUUUAAGGGAGAGCACAGAAGCACGGAGCUGGGCUGGCAUCCAGCGGGUGUGUAGCAGUAGGUCUGGCAUCGGUCCUGACGAUCAGGAACCUAUUCUGACCGAUCAUGCCCAUUGAUAAGCAUUUUGAAAUCUUUCCUGGCUGGAAGCCAUGGUCUCUGCUUCGGAAGGAAGAUUCGAUCCUGUGGCCAAUUCCCUUCCCCCAGCCAGCAGCCCCAGUCCAAUGAGGGACUCACUAUGUUGACCUCUGUGCUCUUUAAAGACACCUGUGUCGGAGGAUUCUACCAGCUCCCUCCUGGGCUCCUCAUUUAAAAACUCCCAGGCUUUAGAGUUGGGAAUUGCACCUCAAGGUUGGUGUCCACACUCCAGAGCUGAAGACCUCAGCCCUGGCUGCCUGUUUAAGAAAAUACCAAGGGCUGCAUGCAGUGGUUCAUGCCUGUAAUCCCAGCACUUUUGGAGGCUGAAGUGGGAGGAUGGGUUGAGGCCAGGAAUUUGAGACCAGCCCAGGCAACACAGCAAGAUUCUGUCUUUACAAAGAACAUGAAAAAAAAAAAAAAAAAAAGAUUAGCUGGGUGUGGUGGUGUGCACCUGUGGUCCUAGCUACUCAGGAGACUGAGGCAGGAGAAUUGCUUGAGCCUGGGAGGUUGAGGCUGCAGUGAGGUGUGAUUGCACCACUGCACUCCAGCCUGACCACAGAGCAAGAUGUUGUCUCCAAUCAAUGAAUACCAACGCCGGAGCUGCACCCCACACCUGUUAAGCUGGAGAGUCUGGGGUAAGCCCAGAGCAGGGGUAUUUUGGAACUUUCUUGAGAUGGCUCUGCUGCGCAGCCACAGUUGAGAACCACUGAGGCAUCCCGGCAGAUGGAAAAAGCCCC
rnacentral:lncRNA from 1 species